UGAGCAUCCACCCUACUCAGCCUGGCCCCAAGGUCCAAGGUAACUUAAACCCAAUUAUAAAUGGCUUUGGCUAUAAAGUGUUCUUGAAUGAAAACGUUUAGGAAGUAGGCCUGGAUUCAGAUGCUUCAGAGGCUCAAAGGAAACAGGAAUCGUGGCUAACCAAAUCCAGCCCAACUGCUUCCUUGUUCACAUGGGGAAAUCGAGGAAGGCCCGGGGAGAGGAAGGCCUGGGGAGAGGAAGUUACUUGCCCAAGUUGCCCAGUUAAUUAGCCACAGAACCCAUGUCCCCCAACUCUGAAACAAGUUCCAGUUAAAGUCUUCACUGAUAACUUUAAAUCCUCCACUAACCAAGGGAGUCAUCUUUGCAUUUGCACAGAGGAGAUGGGAAAAUCACAAAGCCCUUAAGGUCCAGAAGAAAUGAGUGUCACUACGUUGGGCUCCCAGGCUGUGCAACAAGCUGUGGACGGAGAUGUCCGGGCAGGGAGCCCGGUCCAGCUCCCCACCCAUCGCAUCAUGGAGUCAGCCGUCUCCUCUGGGGACUGCACCCUCUGGGUGCUGAGAAAUCCAAAUGGCUCUUUCUCAUGCAGCCGCCCCAAGUGGGCAGGAUGGCCCUUCUCUUGAUUUGUUUCCUGCUUACUUUGUGAGAGUCAAAGUGCAUCCUUCAGGACCAAAGUGGCCAAGGGGCCAGCAUGUUAUUUAGAGUGAUCAAAAUGGACCAUUUUCAACUUGGCCCUAUUUCAGCUCCAGAGCUGUGGUUUCCACUUGCUUUUACUUAUCUGUAUUUUCUAACAUUUCUUUAGCAAAUUUGUAUUACUUUGGCAAUUAGAAAAAAUGACCAGUAAUUUUUAUAAAAGGAUUUGUGUUUGAUUUCCUUUCAGAAAGGCACUUUCAUUUAUUAAAAGAUCACAAUGAGAAGUGAAAUUAAGUUGAUCUUUCUCUCUGGCAAGGAUGUGUGGGGAGGAAUGGGGAGGUGAAUGCUGGGAGCAGAAGCCACAGCUGCAGAGCACUGCAGUGAGUGAAGGCUAGAUCAGGAGACUGGACCAG
rnacentral:lncRNA from 1 species